rnacentral:lncRNA from 1 species
UUUCAACUUCUUCACCAUGUUGCUUGACUUGCCAUUUAUUCACCGUGUUCUUCAGGUGGGCUCCUGAAAUUACAUUAAAACUAAAAAGAAAAUUAUUUUAAAUAAAGAUUAUUAUAAAGAGAUAUUCCAUUUGCUGAAAAAAUAAAGUUUCAGACAACAAGAAUUAAAUUUUUUGCCCAGUUUAUCAUCAGAAAACUUUUGCGAAUGUCAAAUCCAAACAUAACUACUUGCAUGUUGCAAUGAUGAAUCAAGACUAUAACCAAGAAAUGCUUCUCUUGAGAGUAAAAUUAAAUGACCAAGACUAGAAAGUUCAUCUCUUAAGAUUUAAAGUGAUGAAUUCUAACUAGAAAGUGCGUCUUCUAGAGAUAAAAGUUUAAGUUAAAAAGUGUGCCACCUGACAAAUGAAAACUAACAAGAAAGUGCGUCUCAUAAGGUUAAGUGGAAUGAUUCGACUAGAAAAUACAUCUUCUAGGAAUCAAGGGAAUAACUCGACUAGAAAGUACAUUUUCUAGGAAUCAAGGGGAAUGGCUCGACUAGGAAGUACAUCUUCUAGAAAUCAAGGGGAAUGACUAGACCAGGAAGUACAUCUUCUAGGAAUCAUGGGGGAUGACUCGAUUAAGAAGUACGUCUUCUAGGAAUCAAGGAGACUGACUCAACCAGGAAGUACAUCUUCUAGGAAUCAAGGGAUAUGACUCGACUAGGAAGUAUAUCUUCUAGGAAUCAAGGGGACUGACUCAACUAGGAACUACAUCUUCUAAGAAUCAAGGGGACUGAAUCGACCAGGAAGUGCAUCUUCUAGGAAUCAAAGGAACUGAAUCAACCAGGACAUACAUCUUCUAGGAAUCAAGACUUAAGUUAGAAAGUGCAUCACCUAACAAGUAAAAUUCAAAUUACCUAAUUAAGAAAGUGUGUCUCCUUACCAAUGCCGCUUGAAUUACCAAAAUAAGAAAGUGCCUCUCCUUACCAAUGCCACUUGAAUUACCCAAACAAAAAAGUGCGUCUUCUUACAAAUGUCACUUGAAUUACCCGAACAAGGAAGUGUGUCUCCUUACAAAUGUUGCUUGAAUUACCCGAACAAGGAAGUGCAUCUCUUUACAAAUGUCGCUUGAAUUACCCAAACAACAAAGUGCAUCUUCUUACAAAUGCCACUUGAAUUACCUAGACAAGAAAGAGCGUCUCCUUACAAAUGCCGCUUAAAUUACCCAAACAAGAAAGUGUGCCUCCUUACAAAUUCUGCUUGAAUUACCCAAACAAGGAAGUAUGUCUCCUUACAAAUGCCACUUGAAUUACCUAAGAAAAUGUGUCUCCUUACAAAUGUCAUUUGAAUUAAUCGAACAAGGAAAUGUGCCUUCUUACAUAUGUCGCUUGAAUUACCCACACAAAGAAAUGCGUCUCCUUACAAAUACCACUUAAACUAUCCAGACAAGAAAAUGCGUCUCCUUACAAAUGCCACUUGAAUUUACCAAGGAAAGGCGUCUCCUUACAAAUGUCACUUAAAUUACCGAUACAAGGAAAUCCGUCUCCUUAUAAAUUUAACUUGAAUUAUCCAAGAAAAUGCGUCUCUUGGACAAGGAAGUGUGUCUCCUAGAAAUAUUGGAUUAUGAGUUUUUUCAUGGUUUUGAUUACCAAACCUGUGUAGCAAUAUUGCCUCUUAUAUUUAUAGAAGUGAGAAAUUACGGCCUUUGAUGUUUAGGCUUUGAAGUCCUUGAUUUGAAGGUAACAUGUGUUCUUAUUUCAUACAACAAAAACUUGUGAGUUUAAAAACAUGGUGGAUGGUUUGUUGCUUUAGCUUUUGCGAUAAUUGCUCUUACCCUCAUCACAUUUAGUCCCUCUUCCAACCAUUAGCGUAUGUCAUUGACUUGAUGCAUUAUUGACCCAAACUCAGAUUGUUAAGAGUGAUUCUGAAACAAACACAGUAUCUCUGCUUCACCAUGUUUCUCAGAUAAACCCUUUGAACCUUGAAAUUUCCAUGAAUUUCCAAACUUGUCUGUCGAUAAAACUUUCUACAUGCCUUAUUUUGGCUCACAAUCAUGUCUCUUUCAUGUGCUGGCUUUUGUCUUGCUUUGUGCAAUUGAACAAACUGGUAGCCAAUUUUGAAAUCUUUUCUCACUUGUUUUGAUAUGGACUUGACUCAACGAUAAGAGAAAAAUGACAAUGAUUUUUUAUUUGAAUAACUAACUCAAGAAAAUAAAAUAAAACAUAAAGAGAAGAAAGAAAAGACAAUGAAUGUUCCCAAUUGAAACAAAAAAAUGAAAAAUUUAUCUAAAAAUGAUGGUCGACUCUAAUGAUCAUGCCAUACAUUUGGAUUAAGAUGUCUGAUAUUCCCACCCAAACUUUCUACCAAUUGUUUUUGAGUUAAUGGCCCUGAAAUUGAGUUACUUUCUUGGGGCAAUUGCAUUCGGAGACCUCAUUUGGCUAGUGACGCCUUGAAAGGUUUUCGCCAACAAGCCUCUCUCAUUUUUUUCUUAUCUCACCUUUUCCCUAUGGUGUCCGUGAUGAGUUUCACUAGUGAGACUCUCCUAUUUUCAUUUCUCUCACCUCACAGUCGUCUUACAGUGCCCAUGAGGGUUUUCACCAAUAAGACUCUUUUAUUUUUAUCUCUCUCAACUUACCAUCGUCUUAUGGUGCCCGUGAGGGUUUUCACUAAUAAGAAUCUCUCAUUUUUAUUUCUCUCUUGAUUCCUUAUGCUGAGGAUGACAAGUAGUUCCCAAAAUACGUCAUCAUAUCCAUAGCAUGCUUAGCCUUAACAUUCUCAAAGAUUGAUCUGAAGGUCUUUCUUUGGUUGUAACUUGGCUUUUGGAUAAAGUUAGAAAUAAUGGAUGGCAUGAGACCUAACGACACUUGAAGUGGGGUGGGACUUACAACUUUUGGAAUCGACUCAAAUAAUGGAAAUCAACCCAUGCCUCAGUUUCUUUUGAUUGGGUGACUCUAAAUUGUGUAGUUGGUUAAAUCGAGCCCGAGUAGGGAAGCCUACGUAUCUCACCUAUGAGAUAGGAGAAUCAGGUCUCACCUAGUUUUGGCAGCUCGCUCUUUUGCUUGAUUUUGAUUUCGUCCUUUUUUUUUCUCUUUUAUUGACUCUUUUUCUUUCUUUUGGGACCUUUCUGACUCUAUUUUUUCUUGACACUCUUUUUUUUCUUUCUUUUCACAUAUUUUUUUGAGACUUUUCUGUCUAUUCUUUUGCUCGACAUUUAUCUUUUGAAUUUUAUUGACUCUAUCUUGAUUUCAAAAGAGAGGUAUCAAAAAAAUAAAACUAAAACUCAAAUGGGGUAAACAAAGGAUGACACAAUAUUUGGAUAGCAGAAUAAAAUAUAUUCGUCAUAUCAAUCCUUGAAAUGCAAGUACAUGUCAUGUAAUAUGACAGUGAAAGAUGAAGAUCAUUUGUGACAUUUUUACGACACUAAUUUUAAUUGAGCCUGUGCGUCGCUACUUCUUCUGUAAACUCCAACUUUGUUGUAUAUUUCUCACAUCGAAUGUCUCAACACCCUACCUAUUUUCUUAGAUUCUUAUUUUCUAACUUUAGCCCUCUAAUUCAAAGUUUGUGUUUAAACUGAAUUUUAAGAUCUAGCUGAAAAUUCUGUUAGCAUGUCAAAUCACUAGAAUCAACAUAAAAUAUACUGUAUAAAGAAAACAAAAAACACAUAUUUAAAACAUAAACGAAAAGGGACACUUCAUUUAGUUGAGAUAAAAGAUAGAAGGUGUAAUACCCUGAUUGUUUCUUAAGCCUAAAUCCGUCUUUUGAGUACAUAUGUAUGACUUCCAAAGUGAUUGAUGUUUAAACUAUAUUGUAUUUCUCUAAUUUAUACUUUUUUUCAUAUAGAUCAUUGAAUAAGAUUUCCAUCGAUACAAAUUUCAUUGAAAUCCAACUUCGGACGAGGGAGUUAUAGCCGUUUUACUCAGCAAUUCGAAUUGCCCAGGUCUGACGGUCGACCUGGCGGACCAUCAGGUCCUUGGUGGACCGUCAAGUUUCCCAUCAAGCCAAAGCAGUGACCCCUCUUCCUGUUCACCGUGUGAGGCCAAGAUAGUGGACCAUUAAAAAGUUGACAGACCGUCAAGGGGUAUGUCAGGUCGAGACAGAAUGUCUCGUUUCUGGCCCUUGAGUGACGGACGACUUGGUGGUCCGUCAGUUUCCUGAAGGACCGUUACUUCGAUUGUCUCAUCGAGGUAGAAUGUUCUAAUUUUGGUACUCGAGUGACGGCCGAUCUGGUGGACGUCAGGAGACUUGACGAACCAUCAGAUCGACCGUCACAGGCCCCGAUCAGUGAAUUUCAGCUUUUUCAAAAGGGAAUUUUGGUUAUUUCCGCCCCAUAUGGUCUUAUAUAUAUAUCUUAGUAGAGAAUAGCUAUUCAUUUUUCUCCUUUCCUUUUCCAAGAAACAUCUAGAAAUUAGGGUUUCUUCCAAAACCCAAAAAUUCAAUCUUCUUCCAAGAAAUUCAAGGAUCUUCCAUGGAUUUCUCCAAAUUGUUCAAGAAUUAAGUUUCCCAAGUCAAGGGCAUCAAUAAUCUUUGUCUAAAAGUGUGAGAAAUAAGUUCCAAACAAGUUUCUACAUCUCCAAAAUUAUAAUUCAAGAUAUGUGGGGCUUUAACAAGAACACUCCUUUCGUUCUUGUGCCUAAAGAUUUACUUUCUAUUAUGGAUUUACAUGAUUUUGUAAGAGGGUUUACACCCAAGUUUCUUUAUUUAUGAUUUAUGAAAUUUGAGUGGAAUAAUUUUGAUAUUUAUGAUUAUUUCACCAUCAUAUUUCUUAAAUUGAGAAUUUAUUCCACGAGUUGUGUAUUGUCAUUACGUAUUGAUGAUUUCUAAGCGAUUUAAGACAAGUUUCAUAAGUUAUGCCUUUCCAUGAGAAAUUUGACUAUUGAAUAUAUAUCGAUAUUUGAGAUUGAAAGUCUAGAAUGAGCCCUAUGAUGUUUCCUUGAAGCUUUUGAUAUUUGAAAAUGAUUCGAAAACCAAAUGUACUCGAUGUUGAGAAAGAUUGUGUUGAGUUGAGUCGGGUUAAGGAUCCACAUAAUGUUUAUGAUUUACAUAUGAGAUAUAUAUAUUUAUGUGUUGGUCUUUAAAAUAGACCCAUGAAUUGAUAUUGAUUAAGGUAGAUUUUCUAACGCGUUCUGAGCUGAGUCUGGGAGGAGUAUUUAGCACCGAGCGGGAAAUAUGGUAUUUCCCCAAAACUAUGUGCUACCAUAGGAUUGAUGUUGAUAGUUGUGGGCCAGAGGCCAAGUAUGGGAUUGAGAUAACGAGAUUGAGGUUGUACUCCCUGGCAAGAGUAUAACACCCCCGCCAAUAUGGGGUUCUCUCCUUAGGAGGGUAAAACGUUGGACUCCAUACAGCUCACAUAGUGUAGUUAUAUCGGUUAUAAGAAACUCCCACGUCCAUAAUGAUCUAAGUACCAUGAGUUACCGAGUCACUCUAAGUUAUGAGUCAAAGAGUUUGAGUUGUGUUAAAUGAUUUAUGAGAUUUAUAAAGCAUAUGUUAUUACUAAUGAUUUACGGAAAUGAUGUUUUAAAUAAUUCAAGCGAAGAGAGUUAUUAUUGUCAACACGCAUGAUUUUCUUAUACAUUUAUGAUAUUAUUUAAAAUGUUGCAUCCACCCCCACAUACUCAAUACAUUCCCAAGUACUGACUCUCAUACUCUUUUGUACUCUAUAAUUCCUCAUGAUAUAGGUUCAAGUGCUCAGACUCAGUAGCGACAGUGAUCUUUGAGAACCUUCAUCUAUAUUUCUGCGGUUGGUAAGUCCUUAUGGUUUGAGGACCCGUGUCUCCAAUUUUGUCUUGUUAAUAGAUGGUUAUUUACUUUCAAUUCAGUACGAGUCAUUUGGGGAUCUGUCCCAAUGGCUCCUUAGUUCUAUGUAGUAGAGGCUUUGUCAGACUAGUGUACCAGUGUGUAUAGAGAUUUCAGUAUUUUAUUUGUACAGGGCAGUAUUACUUCGUGUUUUAGUAUGUUCAUGACAUUGUUAUUCCUCUUUAUCUUAGCAUGAUUUGCGCUAUAAUGAGUUCUGAAAGUGAUGACAAGCUUAGAGGGUUAGCUUGAGGCCACGUGUGGCCUUGAGCACCAUGUGACAUCUCGGGAUAGGUUCUUACGGCGUUACAAGCUUGGUAUCAGAGCCUAAGGUUCAAGGAGUCCUAGGGAGUAUGACAAUAUGCGUUGCGUAGACUCUUGAUCAUUAGUGUGUAGCGCUCCACAUCUAUGAGCAAGAGGCUACGGGACGUUUUAGGAAAAGUUAUUUCUUUCUUUCAAGAUUCUAUCGUGCCUAUGAUUGUUUCUCUCUGCUGUUAAUUUGUGCUCUCUUAUGACAGAAAAUGCCUCCUUAUAGAGCUCGCAAAAAUAACGAACGACCUCAACCCAUUGAUAUUUUAGGUGAGACGGUGUCCCAUGUCGAACUUCGGGUAGCUUUUCAAGCGCUAGCCCAGGCGGUCACCGCCAAUGCCUAAGCCAACACCUAGGCUACUGUUCCACCUCCGCAAGGAAAUAAUUCUGCUACAGCUCAAGUUCGUAACUUUAUGCAAAUGAAUCCACCUGAUUUCUAUGGGUCAAAAGUAGGUGAGGACCCACAAAUGUAUUUAGAUGAAGUGAGAAAUAUCACUCAGAUUAUGCACGUGAUGGAGGAGAAGAGUGUUGAAUUAGCUGCCUAUCAAAUGAAAGAUGUUACUUAUGAUUGGGUGGAGAUGUGGAGGAAGAGUAGAGGGUAGAAUGAUACUCUUGUGACUUGGUAAUUAUUCAAAGAUGCCUUCUUAGACAUAUUCUUUCCCUCGGAACUGAGGGAAGCAAAAUUAGAAGAAUUUAUGAACUUGAGACAGGUCCCCAUAAUAGUUAAGGAGUAUUUCCAUAAGUUUAACCAGUUAUCUAAGUAUGCUCCCAGUAUGAUGGUUAAUUGUAUAACUAGUAUGAGUAAGUUCUUGGCCUGUGUAUCAGGUUAUGUUGUGUAGAUCCGCUAUGCUUAAUAGGGACAUGGACCUUUCAAGACUAAUGAUUCAUGCUCAGUAGAUUGAAGUGGACAAAGUGAAGGAGAGAGAGAGAGAGUAUGAGGGAAUAAGAGAAUUAGAUCAGAGCAACAGGGUUAUAGUUAGACUAGAUUUUCUGGAGAGAUCUGCCCUCAGUUCCAGAGUUGUUCUCUUGUGCUAGCGCCUUCAUCAGCCAGUACUCCUACAUUCAGAAUUACGUUGGAGCAGGGUAAUAGGCCUACUAUGUCCAAGUCCCAGGACAGUGUAAGUAACAGACCUUAUUCUCCCCCAUGUCCAAAGUGCGGUAGAGACCAUUUCGGUGAGUGCUUAGUCGGUCAGAGGGGUUGUUUUAGUUGUGGUAAGUUGGGCUACAAGUUUAGAGAUUGCCCAUAUGCUAGACAAAGGAGUCGCGAUGUUCGUCCCCAGAGUUAGACUAUUAGUGCUCCAGCCCCUGUAGUUCGUCCUACUCCUCCUCAGGGUGCCUCAUCUAGUACUGCAGGCGGUCAGCGUCAGAAUUACUUUUAUGCUAUACCACCCCACCAGGAGCAGGAGAAUUCACCAGAUGUUGUUAUUGGUAUGCUCCGUGUAUUUUAUUUCGAUGUGUAUGUGUUUCUGGACCCUAGGUCAAGUCUUUUUUAUGUGACUUCGUUGGUGGCUGUGAAUUUUGAAAUCAGUGCUAAAAAAAUUUUCGAGCCCUUUCUAGUCUCUACACCAAUCGGUGAAUUUGUUGUUGCUAAGCAAGUAUAUAAAAAGUGUUCUAUCACUGUUCUUAACAGAGUUAUGUUUGCAAAUUUGAUUGAGCUAGACAUGGUUGAUUUUAAUAUUAUUCUGGGUAUGGAUUGACUUCACUCUUGUUAUAGCCGUUUUAAUCAGUGAUAUUGGAUUGCCCAGGUCUGAUGGUCGACCUGGCGGACCGUCAUGUCCUUGAUGGACCAUCAAGUGUCCCGUCAAGCCAAGGAAGUGACCCCUCUUCCUGGUCACCAUGUGACGGCCAAGAUGGUGGACCAUCAAAAAGUUGAUGGACCAUCAAAGAUUAAAAUUUUUUGAAUGUGAAUCGGGAGUAUACCUAGGGAUAGGAGUAAUCAUGCACCAUUGUCUCAAUGUUUGGAACAAACUGGUAUAGGACUCCCCAAUUGGCGUGAAAUUAUCUUUUGCCUUUCUCUCAUUGCAAAUUCGGGCCUCGGAUGAAACUUGGAUUUAGAGGUUCCUUAAUAAAUUUGUAGGCGUUGAGGGACCAGGGCACACCAUUGUGGAUAGAAAUAUGGAUGAGCAUACGAAUAUGCAUUGUUCAAAGGAUAUUGAGGAAGUGGAAUAGGAUUUCUUGGAUUUUAGAGAAAGUAACCUUGUUGCAAGUGGUUACGUGGAUCUAAUAUGUAAGCUCAGGAUUAAGGAUGACAAAAUUGGUGGAUUAGACCUCUCAAACUUUACUUUGGCCCUGGCAUGAAAAUAGGUACGUUUUCCUUCUUCUUUCCUUCAGUUUCCUUUCAUUGAUUGGAAUAUCGUCCCAAAUGUUUCACAUAAUCCUUCUGUCCAUCAGACUCUCCAAAUUUUAAUGUCUCAAAUCUUGGAGGAAGGUUAACACUUAAAAAUAUGCCCCAGUUUUUAUAUGAAACAUCUUCAUAGCCAUUAAGUCCCAGAGAACUUUUCAUAUAAUUUUCUACACUCUUCACUUUCCCCACUAUUUUCUCUGGCUUUUCUGGCAUGCGAGACUUCUUGGUAAGAAAUUUUGGUGGUCCACUUAACUUAACUGUAAGCUCAAGAUUAUAACAAUGAUCAUCAAGAGUAUUGAAAGUGGAUUCACUAGUGGAUUAGGGAAGCACAAUUAUUGGAUUGAUAGCCAAAGUGGAAGCCUCAGUAGAAGGUUGAGUAACAAAAACACAGAUGAAAUGUGGUGCUAUGAAUGUGGUAGGCUUAUACUGAGGAGAUAAAGAAAGAGUGGUGGAAGUAUUGGGGUGCAUUUGACAUGGAAUGGAUUCUGCAGCAUGCUGUGGUGCAUCAACAACAACAGUAGGAAACUGACUUUGCAAUUUUGGUGGAAGACUCAAGGUAUUUGCAGGGUUAAUAGUGGUGAGUGGAGGAAGAGGCAACCACUAGCCCAAGCUCUAUACAUUUCCAUCAUUUGUUGCCUUAGUCUCAAAUUCUCUUUCUUUAAACUCUCAUUUUCCUGACUUAUUGUUUGAUCCAUGAGGUCACUCUCUAUAUCCUUGUUGGACACAACUAAACCUCCUUUAGAUUUGGUGUGAUGUAGAGGACCAGCCACAAUGUCACAAACCAACUACCUAAGACUGACUUAACAAAAAAUAACAAAUGUGUUAGAGUUCAACACUUUUUCAAAACCUCUUUUUCCUUUAUUUUUCUUUUGAAAAUAUCAUCGAACCCAAGAAGGGCACCUACGUGUCUCACUCCUAUUGAAAAAAAAUCUUUUUGGAGUUUUUAAAUUAUGAAUGCUCACCAAAGAAAACAAAAGGAAAAUCUUUUGAUGUUUUUGUUUUUGACAUAUGAGUGCAAAAGGUAAAAAUCUUUUUGAAUUUUUGAAUUGCAAAAAACAAAAGUCAUACCAAAUUCUAAAAGCUACAAAACUCUUUUUUUUACUCACUUUUUUUCUUUUUCUUCUUUUUUCAACCUUUCCUUGCCAACACACUUUUCUUUAAUUCAAGAAUAUGGUUUUCCCCAAAUCAGUCUGUCAAAUGACCCUAUAACCCUCAAAUAUGCAACAAGUAGCACAUACGGAUGCUUGAGGGUGAGUCUCCUAUAAAGGAACAAGUGGGUCUCGUUUGGUCUCAAUAUGAUGCAGAUAAGCAUGACUUAAAGGCUGACGUACGCUGGGUUCCACUAAUAAGGUUGUUCAAGGGAGCGUAUGGUCGUUAGUGGCUGCGAUUGCUUUCCACCUAUUCCAUACCAGCCGAUGGCUCCCACUCCUAAAAUAAGGGUGACUCAACUAGAGGUCGUGUACACAACGUGUACUACAGAACUUGUUGUAGAAAGAAUUGACUUGGGUUAUGCAAAUGAUGUCAAAUAUAAAGCGGUAACACAUAAGAGGAAAAAAUUGUAAACACAUAGCAAGUAGGCACUCAACAAUGAUAUAAAAAAUUCGAACAAUAACACAAAGAACGUCUAUACACCCAUAAUGUCUAACUAAGUCGAUACAACUAUAAAAAAAAGCUCUAAUUCUGAAAAUCCACAGCAAAGUCGCUAGAGCUGUCAAACCUUUUUUUUAAACCAAAAAGAUUCUUUUAAAGUUCAAAAAGGUUUUUUAUUAUUAAAAUAACAAAAUGAAGAUUUAUUUCAAAAAGAAUUAUUUACAUUUAAACUCAGAGUGUCCACUUGGCAUAAAUCGGGUGUGUCAAGUCACCUUUGGAUAUCCUUUUUCAAAAUAAUUUUUGAUCUUUUAAAAAUUGAUCCACGAAUAGAGAUUCUAGUUAAGGAAUUCUGUUGACCGAGGGGAAGGAGUUAGGCACCCCUCGAUCCCAUGGUUCGAGCACGGUUUCUAGAUGGAGCAUAUCGGCUAAUUUGACACUAUGAAUGUAUAAACCACAUAAAACACACAAAAAUAAUCAAACCAAACAAACAAAAAUCCAAAACAAAUAAUGUCUAGUCCAAUUAUUACAAACCAAAGUAAAUAAAAAAAAUGCGAAAAUGUAAACCUACUCUAUUCUAGGCUAAUCCUGAACUACGCUUCAUUGCUUUACCCAAUGCCUUGGGCCUUGAUCACAAAUCUCCUUCUAACACAAUUUCUCAAGGCAUUCCCCAGAUGAAACACUACAAAUACCUCGGGACAUUCCCCGGCCAAAUGGUACAAUUGAUCCAAAAGCAAUAAAACCAAACCAUUCCACACACAUUUUCAAGCAUUCCAUCAAUUCACCAUUCCUAAAUUUGCCUACCCGAACCUACCAUUUGCCUACACAACUCGACCUAUUAUGAUACUAUCAUAUUGAACGAAAUAAAAAUUAUUCAACUAACAAAUUAAAUAUUCCAAAUAAGAUUAUGAAUCAGCCAACUUUCAAUAUCAUCCCCACAAUUAAGAUUUACCCUCUAAAUUAAGCUCUACUUCUUUGAUUAUCCAAUUCACACCAUCAAUCAAUAUCAACAAUCAACUGCGAUGAUAUAAAACAUAUCAAAAUUAACGUAAACAAAAUUCACACUCCAAAAAAUUUACCACAUGAAGUGUCAAAUAAUUAAUUGAUGGAGAAUGAGAUGAUGAGUGGACCUUAAUGCCGCUUUUAUUCAAGUAUUACUCAAUUAAAUGAGAUGGAAUCCAGACCGAGAACCUCAAAUUGAACCUCAAUGAUGAACCAUAAAUUGACAAGAUCAAGAUAAAUAGGGAAACUUCAACAGGAAGCCCAAAUCACCAAUUUCAGAGGGAAGCUCAUAUGGGUUGUCGAAAUCCGAAUGGGAUUGGGUGAUUUUACCUAGCCGCCAUUUUCCGGUGGAGAUUUCGGAAACAAUCUCAUCAAAGGAACUCCUACGCGCCCCACCUCUCUCUUGUCUCUUUCUCUCUCAAUUUCUUUCAAAUUCCCGCUAUUUUUGUACUGUUUUAUCUCCUUUGUCUGUGCGACUGUGUUACUGUGUGUGUAUAUUGGAAAUAUGGAGUUUUUCCGGUUGGUGUGAUGUUUUUCCAGUGAAGGUAUGAAUGUGUAGUGGAGUGUGUGCUACUGUGAUCUCUGAGGCGUGUGAAUAUUAAGGGGAAUUGUAAGUUUCCAGUGAGUGCCUGUGAAGGGAAUCUGUGUGUUGUGUAUUAUAUUGUUAUGGUUUCCUCGUUAGUGAAAAUGAAAAACAGCAUCAUAUGUGUGUUACUGGUAUGUAAUUGUCAUUGUGAUUCUGGUGUGUGUGGAAUUUUGUGAGUAUUGUAUGUGUAUUCUUGAAGAAGAUGGUUAGUUUUUUUUGUGUUAAUGGAUUGGAAAAAAAUGAAAUAUUCAAGUGGGGCCCCUCUAUUUUUUUGUGUGUCCCCCUUUUUGUAAUGUGAGUUGUGUGUGUAUUUGUUAGUGAAAUGGGGAAAAAAAACGUGUCAAUGGUGGGUGAGGUGUAUGGGCAUGGGGCUAGGGGGGUUGGGUAGUGGUGAGGUAUAAAAAUUAAUUAGGAUAAGGGAAUAUUAGAGAUUAGAGAUUUAAUUUAUUAGAAUUUGUUGUAUUUAUUUUCUUGUGAGGAAAGUGUAGAAUGGGGUGAGGGUACAUGGUAAGGUGAGGUAAAAAAUGAAUAAAUUGGAUUUUUGAGAGGGACAAAAUUAGGUAUCUACAAUAAUAUAUGGCUAGAUAAGAACCACAUGGUAUUGAUAAUUUAUGGAUACGGCAAUAUGAUGCUUAGGUUGAACCA